UACGUGGGGGGCAAGCGUUGUCCGGAUUUAUUGGGCGUAAAGAGCGUGUAGGCGGCCACACAGGUCUGCUGUGAAAACUCGAGGCUCAACCUCGAGACGUCGGUUGAAACCAUCUGGCUAGAGUCCGGAAGAGGAGAGUGGAAUUCCCGGUGUAGCGGUGAAAUGCGCAGAUAUCGGGAAGAACACCCGUGGCGAAGGCGGCUCUCUGGGACGGUACUGACGCUGAGACGCGAAAGCGUGGGGAGCGAACAGG
rnacentral:rRNA from 1 species